rnacentral:rRNA from 1 species
GGACGAACGCUGGCGGCGUGCCUAACACAUGCAAGUCGAGCGAGGAGAUUCCUUCGGGAUGAUCCUAGCGGCGGACGGGUGAGUAACACGUGGGCAACCUGCCUCAUAGAGAGGAAUAGCCUUCCGAAAGGGAGAUUAAUACCUCAUAACAUUGCAGUUUCGCAUGGAACAGCAAUUAAAGGAGCAAUCCACUAUGAGAUGGGGCCCGCGGCGCAUUAGCUAGUUGGUGAGGUAACGGCUCACCAAGGCGACGAUGCGUAGCCGACCUGAGAGGGUGAUCGGCCACAUUGGGACUGAGACACGGCCCAGACUCCUACGGGAGGCAGCAGUGGGGAAUAUUGCACAAUGGGGGAAACCCUGAUGCAAGCAACGCCGCGUGAGUGAUGACGGCCUUCGGGUUGUAAAGCUCUGUCUUCAGGGACGAUAAUGACGGUACCUGAGGAGGAAGCCACGGCUAACUACGUGCCAGCCGCAGC